GUUUUCGAUACAUGCAUCGUUCAUGCCCAUGCGUUUAUGUGUACAGUACCUGCUUUAUUACGUUUCGUCACUCGCAGAAACACAUAAGAACUAUUAAGGAUUAACAGCCAGGUGAAGUUUGAGCUUCUUUGUUGCAGUCUAGUGUGCACCUUAAGCUGUUGCAUUCAUUCUUUGGUGGCGGUGUUAUCCUGAAGUUUGAAAGAGCUCCAUGCUUCAAGUUUUAUGGGAUCAAUCAUGUCUGAAUCUUGCAAGACCGAGUCACACCUGUGACCCACUUGUGGUCUGAGAUCCCCAAACAACUUUUAAUCAGAUAUUACGACAACAAACCGCCGGAACAAAAAAGAGGCCGUUCACUAGAAAUUCAGCUCGACUGUAAUUCUUGUCGAAGACUAUCUCUGCAAUUUGGUUCAUAAAGCCUGGAGUCUCCAAGUCAGUUCGCACAUGUCUAUCUGGAGUCAAAUUCCCUUCUAUUUGGUCGUCAUUAUUAACUUGAUUGUUGGCGUCUUUUACCCGUUCGACACUGACAGAUCGGCUCCUGAUCCUGGCACUCACCUCUUAGGUUCACCUGGGCAUCUCAUGCUCCUUUCGGUGGUUGUGGCCAUUACGUUACCUAAACCGUCGUAUAUCAGAGUUAUGACAGUUAUCCUCCUACUUGCUCUGCUGGCCCCCAACCUACAUUGAUGCUCCUUGGCACCGCCACGGUAGUGUUGAUAGGCCUCCAUCUGCUGAACAUCAUAGGGAGCACUCACCGGAACAUUCUAACUGAACGUGAGGCAAAUCUUCAUGGACACGGAGAUCGUCCUUUAUCUCAUCUUUUGUUUCCUUGUACUCGGCACCCAUCCUUCCUUCGAAUCGCGCCAGGAGAAUUACGGAAUCAUCUCAAACUCGUCUACCGAUUUCUGAAAGAGCUAAUCAGCUAACCCCAUGACCCAACCUCAACGACAUCUAUUCCACUUUUUCAACCGCUGCUUCGUUGGUGCUUGACUGCUUGGUUCCAUCCAUCCAUAAGUUCCUUAACCUACCGUCCAGACCGGAAUACGAAAUCGCAUUACAACUGGUUAUAGUUUGGAACCGGUGAAUGUUGUUUUAAAAAACUAAAAAAGUCAUCGAAGAACUCUGUCAACGCCGAUUUUUAUUUGCCAAGAAACAGUGCAUGAAGAAUUCAUCCCGAGACCGCUAUUUCAUGUGCUCUGACAGUUGACACGCAGAAUACGAAUUACUUGCAAUCUAAAAAUCGAGCGAAAAUGGUGGCCAAGAGUAACAACGCGGAAGCUCACCUCUGGAAGAUGUUGAGCGAAGAUGAAGUGGAAGCAAAAAAUUGUCCGUUCCCACUGCCAAAUCAGUCUCUCUGCCCAGAGCCUGAAGUGUGGACUAAUCCAUCAAAUUGGCCUAGUUAAAUGAAGUCCUGAUGGAUAUGGUCGUUAAUUAGAAUUUUUUUUUAUUGGUUAUGUCUUGGACACUGAGGACAUCUGGCGGCCAGGUUUAUCUUCAGUUGUUGGGCGUAGGCUAGCCAUUUAGCCUCUAGCCCUCUACCAGUCUCAGAAGUGGCAGCACUGAGUCUACCUUCUUCUUGAUUCUUUGUUUGCCUGUUUGUUAGUUCUUAAUUGAGCGUGGCUUCUGAGAGAAAGGGAAGCCAUUUUCGUUUUUAUGGGGGGGUUUUGCUGUCUGUAGCCUGUAGGCCUAAGCUCAAUCAGAUGCAUUGCUCGAGUGUACGAGUUUGACAUAAUGCAACAUUAAUUUAUUGUUUCAUGUCACAUAACAAUUGAUGCUGAAGAUAGAUUUCAUUUUGGUUAUAGGUUUACAUUUACAUAGCAGUCAUUUUGCUGUCCAAUAUGGCAUGUUGUUGCAGUGCAGCUUAUAGUUAAGAUCACUAUGGAAAUGCGGUCUACAUGUGUUAUUUUUAAGUUGCAAAACUUGACAACUACAGAUUCCUUUGUAAGAUUUAUCAAGCCAGGUGAAGUCUGGGCUUCUAUGUUGCAGUCAUCCAGUGAAAAUUGUGAGUAAAUUGAGCUGUUGCAUGCAGUCUUUGGUGCUGAUGUUGUCCUGGAGUGUGGGAGAAUUCCAUGCUUCAAGUCUUAUUGGAUAAGCCAUAUCUGAGUUGACGCUGGAUCAUGCUGCAUUGUGGUUGCCAAAAUGUUGGACAUCUAGUAGAAAUGCAAGAAGCCUUCUUGAAAUGGUUUAUGUUUACAUAACAGUGAUGUUGCUGUCCAAUAUGGCAUGUUGUUGCAGCCUAUACUGGUGAAAGAUUUUUUGCAUCAAGUUAUACUGUUGCAGUUCCUUGAUGUCGGACAGCUGGUGUUGUGCAGAAAAGUUACAUCAAGUUUUAAUUGUUAUUUGUGUCUAUGCAGUUAACUGUUUAUAUGUUGAAAAGGAACAGAAACAGUUCCACAGUUCCUUGGUGUCGAAUCUCUGAUGUUGUGCUACAGAAGUAGUUACAUCCUGUAUUUUUAAAAAUUGCCAUUUGCGUCUAUGAAGUUAAUCGUUUAUAUGUUGAGAAUGAACAAAAACAGUAAAAACGGGAAAUUUUUACGUUGAACAAAUAAUAAACAUGCCUUCGCGAAUGGGAAAUCAACGAGGAGGAGAUGGGGGGGGGGAGCAUUUGAUUUUCAUUAACUAGAAGAAGAUGAAAUUUUGUAA
rnacentral:lncRNA from 1 species